CUCCUCCACGCGCCGCGGCCGCCACCACAGCACCUCCAUCAGCUUGGCCGCCACGUACGCCAGCGCCGCCGCCGCCGCCGCGAUCCACCACCAGCGCAUCAUCCGCACCAACAGCGCCGCUCAAUUCUAUGCUGGCAUGCAUCAACCAGUAACACCAUUAUGUUUGGAGCUGCUAGAGAGAUCACAUCAGAUGUGUUGGUUUGCAACAUUUGGUGCGUGCGUCCGUCCGCAUUGAAGGCACGUACAAGUAUGAAUGUGAAUGGAAUGCAUUCAUGAUUUGUUUCCUUUCUUUCUCCAUUGAUUACUUAGCAUGAUUGAAGGGGAAAAGGGAUGUGUAGUGUGGCAGUGUCAUAUACCAUGUACAUGUUGCCUAAAUAAAAGGCUAAAACUUGUAAGAGUCCCCAGUACCAGUGACAUGACUUUGCACAAUAAUGCACAAGUGGCAUGGUUGGUUGUACACCACCACCAGAGCUAGCUUGUAUUA